GGGUUUUAUUAAUUAAAAGGGGUGAUUUUCCAGUUUUCGGACAUUAACACAAAAACGUUUUCAGCAGUUAUCAUGAAACUUUGCUGAAUUGUUUAUAGCUAUUGUUGUAAGCGCCCUUUCUAUUUUCAUUAAUUUUUGUCAGAUAUUCCUGGCCAUAUGUUUUCCUUUAAUAAGAUAAUUCUAAAUACAAGUCAUGUUCCAAAAAAAUGGAAUUUAUUACAAAGGAUAAUCAAAAUAUAUACUGGAAUUGUCCUGGACCUUACUUCUGUGAUGGGUAUAUGUUAAUGGAAUCCUUCUCCUACGGGACCAACCGAUAUUAGUAGUGGUAGACCCCAAUGUACAAUGAUCUUCAAUUUCUAUCGAAAAAUUGCUCUGAAAAAAGGGCUAACAUUCCAAUUUUCAAUAACAGUUAACAGCAAAUACAUUAUCAC
rnacentral:lncRNA from 1 species